rnacentral:snoRNA from 1 species
GUUGCUUCUUACUGGUGAACGCUCUCUGAUAAAACGGUGAGGGAUGUUCAUGUUUCCGAAGCAUAGAUUAAAUAAAUUUAUGCCAGUUUUAAACAGUGCUGUGCUUUUUAUCUUUACUAGCACUGUGCUACCUGUCUCCUGGUAUAUUC